AAUAUUGCUAAAAGCGGCGUAAAACUAAACUCACUCACUCUGGGUGAGGUAAAGGGAGGGACUCUGAAUAUUUGUUGACAUCUGCAAAUUUUUUCAAGCAACUUUGAAGUAUGCACUCCUUGAUUAUCUCCCUGAAAAUUGUAAACAUUUAUGGGUUUUUUUAGUUCGAGUGGAAAAAUUCAUUUGUUUUAUUUAAGAUUUUAUAUGAGCUUAAGGUGUAUUGGUUCCAUAGUUGAUUAAGAAGUUGUUUUAGUUUGGCCAUAUAUGGUAAAGUUGGUGAGCUACAGAUAACAUGCUAUCUCCUCAGUUGUUUGGAGACCGACAAUCACUGGGAUUCCAGAACAGUGCAUUUAAUAGGAUGGGCAGAACAUGUCCCAAGCACCUGUGAUUUAGAAUGCGACAAAGCCACGCGGAUGUGGCUUUAAGGUCAUUAAAUGUGACCAGGCA